UACAGGGGGGGCAAGCGUUGUUCGGAAUUACUGGGCGUAAAGGGUCUGUAGGUGGCCAACUAAGUCAGGCGUGAAAUCCCUCAGCUUAACUGGGGAACUGCGUCUGAUACUGGAUGGCUUGAGUGUGGGAGAGGAAUGCGGAAUUCCAGGUGUAGCGGUGAAAUGCGUAGAUAUCUGGAGGAACACCGGUGGCGAAGGCGGCAUUCUGGACCAUAACUGACACUGAGAGACGAAAGCCAGGGGAGCAAACGGG
rnacentral:rRNA from 1 species